rnacentral:rRNA from 1 species
GACGAACGCUGGCGGCGUGCUUAACACAUGCAAGUCGAACGGAAAGGCCCUGCUUUUGUGUGGUGCUCGAGUGGCGAACGUGUGAGUAACACGUGAGUAACCUUCCCUUGACUUUGGGAUAACUUCAGGAAACUGGUGCUAAUACCGGAUAGGAGCUCCUGCUGCAUGGUGGGGGUUGGAAAGUUUCGGCGGUUGGGGAUGGACUCCCGGCUUAUCAGCUUGUUGGUGGGGUAGUGGCUUACCAAGGCUUUGAAGGGUAGCCGGCCUGAGAGGGGGACCGGCCACAUUGGGACUGAGAGACGGACCAGACUCGUACGGGAGGCAGCAGGGGGGAAUAUUGCACAAUGGGGGGAAGCCUGAUGCAGAAACGCCGCGUGCGGGAUGAAGGCCUUCGGGUUGUAAACCGCUUUCGCCUGUGACGAAGCGUGAGUGACGGUAAUGGGUAAAGAAGCACCGGCUAACUACGUG